AACGAACGCUGGCGGCGUGCCUAACACAUGCAAGUCGAGCGCGAAUGGAGCAAUCCCUAGUAGCGCGGCGCACGGGUGCGUAACACGUGGGUAAUCUGCCUGGGAGACCGGAAUAACCUGCCGAAAGGCUGGCUAAUACCGGAUAAGCCCACGGACUCUUCGGAGUCUGAGGGAAAAGGUGGCCUCUGUAUACAAGCUAUCACUUCCAGAUGAGCCCGCGGCCCCANCAGCUCGUUGGCGGGGUAAAGGCCCACCAAGGCAACGACGGGUAGCUGGUCUGAGAGGACGAUCAGCCACACUGGAACUGAGACACGGUCCAGACUCCUACGGAGGCAGCAGUGGGGAAUUUUGCACAAUGGGCGAAAGCCUGAUGCAGCAACGCCGCGUGUGUGAUGAAGGUCUUCGGAUCGUAA
rnacentral:rRNA from 1 species